rnacentral:tRNA from 1 species
GGUUGUGGCUCAGUGGUAGAGCACUGGCCUAGCAUGUGUGAGGUGCUCUGGGUUCAAUCCCCCACACCA